rnacentral:rRNA from 1 species
UACGUAGGGGGCAAGCGUUGUCCGGAAUCAUUGGGCGUAAAGAGCGUGUAGGCGGCUCGGUAAGUCCGCUGUGAAAGUCCAGGGCUCAACCCUGGAAUGCCGGUGGAAACUGUCGAGCUAGAAUCCGGAAGGGGCGAGUGGAAUUCCUGGUGUAGCGGUGAAAUGCGCAGAUAUCAGGAGGAACACCAAUGGCGAAGGCAGCUCGCUGGGACGGUAUUGACGCUGAGACGCGAAAGCGUGGGGAGCAAACAGG